rnacentral:misc_RNA from 1 species
AAGUCGUAACAAGGUUUCCGUAGGUGAACCUGCGGAAGGAUCAUUACCUAGAGUCAGUGGGCUUUGCCUGCUAUCUCUUACCCAUGUUUUAUGAGCACUUACGUUUCCUCGGUGGGUUCGCCCACCGAUUGGACCGCUUAAACCCUUUGCAGUUUUGUAAUCAGCGUCUGAAAAACUUAAUAGUUACAA